GGUGACAGCAGGGCAUCAGUCUGACCAAAUGGCCUCUGACAUGGAAGGGCGUAUGAAGCAAAGGAAUCCAUCCAAGUUGGGAGAAAAACUCCUUAACAUCGGCUUAUCCUGGACAGCAUCUUCAGGAUCAAUUGAGACAAAUUUGCAGAUUCUCAGAGGGACUUCAUUGACAUCUGUUCUGAGAGAUCCAGUUGGAAGAACACUUCCAAGCAUGCAGGAGGAUAAGACAUUUAUGCUUUGGGAAAUAGAUGGUAUAGAAGGUGAAUUAAACAUUGCAAAUCCUUCCUUAAUACAAAUGAUAGUAAUGUACCCCUACAACUACAUUUUUCUUGACUACCAUUUUUUUCAGUGCUUUAGAGAGGAUUAAGGAAGACUCUAGGUGUUCGAACUUUAGAUUUUGAUUCUUGGCAUUACUAUCUUCUCAUAAUUCUCCUGAAAAAUUGAACUUAGGUGAUAAUGUUUCAGUAUCUAAAUUUCCCUUUCUGGGCAUGUGAGGCCUCAGUUUUGAAGUGGCUGAACAGUCCAUUUGCCUCAGCAUAAUGAGUGUUGUUGAAUGUGUGAAUGAGGAAUAAUUCAGUCACUCCACUGCUCAUUUAAUAGCUGUGUGCACUGCCUUAUGUGAGUUACUUUGUCAAGUAGGGAGACAGCUGCAGAGUUUGCUGUGAGGGAUAGCUAAUAGUGAUACUAGGAACAUGGUGAAAACCAUCGGACUUCCUAAAUUAUGAGAUUAUUUCCAGUGUGCAUCUGAAUGUGUUCUUACACCUUUCAGGAGUGUUGUGUGAGGUGUAUUUAGGGUCAGCAGAAACAACACCUAGGGAGGGAGUUGGGAGUUGCAGGGGUGUUGGAUUAGAUGGCCUUCAGAGGUCCCUUCUAGCUCUAAGGAUUCUAUGAUUCUAUGAGUCUGUGAUUCAAAAUGGAGACAAGAUGUUUGUGUUAAUAUGUAUAUAAAACAAUGAGCAGAAACUUAGAGGAACAAGGGUUUUAUCUUUUUCUGUCUGCACUUUGAUGCAGAUUAUGCAGCAUUUUGUCUUAUUUUCAUCCUAAUUUUGUGUUGCUUUGCGUAACAUGGGUGUAUUUGAUGUUCUUAAAAUGAAAACUCAAUUCGACUUCCUGUGUUCAAAAGGAAGAGCUCUGUGCUCAGGUGGGUUGACCCUGGCUGGCAGCAAAACUUACCCAGCUGCUCAAUCCCUUGGGAAAUCAAGAAUGUAAACAUUAAAACAACACCUUUCCUCCCCACUUUUCCCACGCUUAUCUUCACUCCUUCAACCACAACUUCUCAACCUCUUCCCUCGCAAGCAGUACAGGAGGUGUCAGUCUAUAAGAGGUCCUCUUUAGCACUCCUAUCUUCCUCAUACUUUUCCCUGCUCCAGUGUGGGUCAGUCCUAUGGGUUGCAGUCAGUCCUUCAGAAUUAACCUACUCCAGCAUGGGGUCAUACAGAGGUAGAAGUGAGGUUAUGUACUCCGCCAAGAAGCCCCUCUUUUGACCUUAGUAUUCCCACUGCUCGUUCUCACUGUUUUUUGUUCCUUCCUCCUCCCCCUGUGCAGUGUUUUUUUACCCUCCCCUCCCCAUGCUGUUCCCCAGCUGCCCCAGGGUGGCUGUUGGGCCUGGCCCUGCCAGAACAGGCUGUGUCUGACACAGAGUAGCCUGGCCUCUCUUCAGGCUGUAGCCUCCCAAGUGUCAGCACCUGGACAGAUAGCUGUAUGCUUUCCCAUAUUUGUAUUUAAAUUGGUGUGUUAAAUUUAUAUUCUCAAACUCAUAUUCAUUGACUAAAUAUAAGGGCUGGCAUAAGGUUCUGUAAAAAAUUGAAUUUGAUGGGUAAUUGAGUUGUUAAUCAGAACAUGUUCUAUUAAUUUUUUUAUGAUUGCAGUAUUUUUAUGAAUGUACAAAUAUAGAAGAAAUAAUUCCCAAUAUUCUAUAGGUAUUUUGGUUUUAACCCUGAAUUUCCCAACAGAUUCAAUUUUAAUAUUGCAAUUUUUGUGUAGAUUUUAAUACAUAAAUGACAUUAAUAUAUCAUAACGUUUAGACCAAACUCUUACUAUUCCAACUAGUACCUGGAGUCCAUAUUGCUGGAUGUUUCAUGAAGGGAGAGUUGCUUUAUAGGGAUAGAUCCAGAGAAAUGUUACUAGUCAAAAACAAACCAUAAAUAUACCUACAAGAACUGCUCUGAAAGGAAUGCCUCCUAUUUUAAUUAUGUUGUCCCAAGACAUCAGCGGUGGAUGAUGGUGGUAUGGCAGCAGAAGCUGGAUCUUCUUGCCAAUAUCCCAUUCCAUUUUGUUGCCAUGUGACAGAUGGCAGCAGAGGGACAGUCUAAUAGAAUAUUGUCUGAUGUGGAAGUGUGGACGAAGCAAAGGUGUGGAACUGAAUUCCACACUGGUUCAGAAAUAGGGAAAGCAUCAGUAGUCACUCACCUAAAUCUGCAGUGGAUGUGCAAUGCCGCUCUCACCAUGUCAUCUCACAGGUUGCCUGUGCCUGGCUCUAUUGUCUAAAAAUUCACUUUUUGGGCCUGUUUAUUCAUAACCGAUAGCUCAGCAGAAAAGUAGAGGAAUUACAGAAUAUAUUCAUUCAAAUCCUGAAAACAUCUAUGCCAUUUUCUCAUUCCAUACCAUGUGAUCUCCACACCAUUUUAACACAGAGUUUCUACUGUUAUGACUGUUUGUAUGCAUGAUGACUCAUCCUUUUUCAGACCACUGAAGUGAAUGUCUUCCUGCUUUGCAAACUGCAGGUGCUGUUGAAUAUGUUAUUUUUUAAAAAAAUACAUGUGGAUAAAAAAGAUGAAUUUCAUUGCUAAUGUAAGAUGCAGCAACACCUAUGUCAUUGAAUUUCUUGGAGGUUUUUUAUCUGAUAUCCAGUCUUAAUUCAUUAUCAAUUUUUCAUCCAGCGGUGGCUUUAUUAUACAAAAUCAUGCCUAGCUCUUCAUUUAUGCAGUAAAAUUGCAUAUUAGUCUAUCAUUUUGCUGUUUAAAUGUGAAAUUGAUUGUGAUUUUAGAAUUCCAGAUUGGUUGUUUCCCUUGUAAACUCUUUUUGGUUUUCAGAAGUCCUAUUAAUCAUUUUCUCCUUGCCAGUGAUAAAUAAGGGCAUAUUUAAUCUUCAUGCAUAAAUAAUGUGCACUUUUGAAUAUGCCAAACAAAAUGUGAUGAAUGUUAGUGCUGUUUUCGAUCUUUCUUUAAGAUUUCCUCGUAAGGCUGGUAGAAAGGAGAACUGCAUCUCAGUACCUAGGGAAGUGUUGCUGUUGUAAUAGAGCUAAUAAAAUGAAGAAUUUGUGAUGCAAUAUCUCUUGAGAAAACAUUUCAAAAAAGCCCAGUACAGAUCAGCUAACUUUUGUUUGGAACUGACUUCUUAUUUUACCUCAGUUAAUCGCUGUUAUUAAUUUUAUAAUAAUGAAUAAUGAUCAUCUUCUCUGUCCUCUCUUCUAACAAAAUAAUCCCUAAGGGGGGAUUAUGGAGUCAAAACGAUUUUUAAAUUAAAAAAAGAAGAAAGUCUGUAUGAAAAAAAUAUCACAUAAAAAUAAAGCACAGAAAGCACAUCACAUUUCUAGCACAUCACUAGAAGUGGAUUUUACUUUUUCUGUUAUGGUGAAAUAUAAAUGCAUGUACUCAGCAUGUUUGUGACUCUUAAGAGCUGCUCAUCUGAAGAUCUUCAGCUAUAGUACCUACACACUUUUUAACAGUUCAACCUGUAUUGACUCACUGCACUGUAAGUAUAAUCUGCUUAUCUAUGAUUCAGAUGUCCUUUAGCCAGAUGAUUAAUUAUCAGUGCACGUGGGUUCCUCAAGGACUGUGGUUUCUUAGAUGCUUCUGGGUGGCUGACAAGCGCUGCUUUUUCUUCUCAGAAAAAUUAUAGGGGCUAUAGAAUCAAGAGAACUGGCUGCAGACAGUGAAGAAAAGACAAAUAAAUGACUCGCUUUUUAAGGUUCAGAGACAUCUCCUUAUCUCAGUUCAAGAAUGUUUAUUAUUUAAUAUUGUCUACAAAUAUAACAUUAUUUUAGAAAACUCUUGAAUCAAUCAGAGAAAACACAAAAUAAGUUGAGGCUGUCCUACAAGAAGUGGUCACUUGAAUCUGGACAUCAAACUGUCAUAAGUGGGAUAGACCAUAUCUCAGAAUUACAACCUACAGUUCAAAAAAGGUCUCUAUGUAUAUUCCAAUAAUUGUAUCACUGAUUGUACUUUGAUUUCCUGUGAUAGCUUAUUGGUCAUCAAUCAUGUGGAAGGAUGAUUGCCAGAUACCGUUACAGAUUAAAUGACAGUAAAU
ensembl:lncRNA